rnacentral:rRNA from 1 species
UUCCUGCCGGUAUUCUUACGUUGUUUUCAAAGAUUAAGCCAUGCAUGUGUAAGUAUAAAUAAUUUUACUUUGAAACUGCGAAUGGCUCAUUAUAUCAGUUAUAGUUUAUUAGAAAUAUUUUACUACUUGGAUAACCGUAGUAAUUCUAGGGCUAAUACAUGAGUAAAACCUCAACUUCGGAAGAGGUGUGUUUAUUAGUAUGAAAACCAUAUAUCUUCGGAUAUAAUAGUGAGUAAUAAUAACCUUUCAUAUCGUAUGUCGUAAGAUAACGAUAGUUCUUUCAAGUUUCUGCCCUAUCAGCUUUCGAUGGUAGUAUAUGGGACUACCAUGGCAGUAACGGGUAACGAAGAAUUUGGGUUCGAUUUCGGAGAGGGAGCCUGAGAGAUGGCUACCACAUCCAAGGAAGGCAGCAGGCGCGUAAAUUACCCAAUCCUGACAUAGGGAGGUAGUGACAAUAAAUCACAAUGCGGAACUUUUAGUUUUGCAAUUGGAUUGAGAACAAUGUACAAAUGUUAUCGAUAAACAAUUGGAGGGCAAGUCUGGUGCCAGCAGCCGCGGUUAUUCCCGCUUCCAUAACGUAAAUUAACGUUUUUGCAGU